CUUCAGAGGAGUCCUGUCACUUCAUCUCUGCCGAAAAUGAAACCUGCCUCCGGACUCUCUCGUGAUUUCACUUGUUUAAAUAAUAGAAGCAUGCGUCUGCAGGCCCAAGCCCGGACAGCGCCGUCACUCCAGCACACACUUGGGAUGACCGAGGCUGCGAACGAUCGGAUCCUUAAGUGUACGCGACCCCGCCAGCGUGCAGCCGAGCCCCCGGACCCCCGAGUGGCGGCGCGAUCCUAGCUUCGGAAGGCGCGGGCAGAACGUAGAGGGUUCAUAAAGUCCGUGCGAGCGCAGGAAGCGGGUGCGGGGCCACCCACAACGGCUGCACCGCAGCAAGCACCGCGACCCGCUGUGGAGGACUAAACUCUUGCCCUGCGGUCACCCCAAAGUAUA
rnacentral:lncRNA from 1 species